UGAACUUUUGAUGGCAUGAGGAAACAAACUGGUUUCACCAAAGUUGCACGAGGGCCAGAAACUAAAUGGCUUCAUGAUUGACAAUACAUUUAUAUCAAAGGCAGUGUACAUUAGACAAUGACACAUUUACGUUUGUCACCACAGAUUUAGAGGACAGUGGUGUGGAGGUUGACACGACAACAGCAUCUAGUGACCACAGAAGUACCACACCAGUCAUUGUAUGACUACAAGGACUAAGGAUACCUUAAUCCACCUGAGUGACAGAUUAUUUGCUGUUGAGACUGUUCUGAAAUAUUUGGUUUCUGCAUGCAACAAUAAAUAAGAAACAUUUGUUUGCUUGGGACAAGAUCUUUGUUAACCAGUAUAAUAGUGAUUUCCUGACCUGUCCAUAACUUGAUAAUAAAUAUCUAAAUAUUA